CCGGAGUUUUCGCACAGCCUUCUGGAACUUGUAGUCCCUUAAGGACGCGGAGUGGGCUCAUGCCGCGGGCAGGUAACUAGAGAUGAACUGCAUUUCCCAGGGUGCAUUGAAUAAGCGGAGAUGCUGAGGUGGGUGGGAGGACUGUUUCCAUAGCAAAGGCGGCUGGAUGGGGGUGGCUGACAGAAAUGGGGCAGGCCGCGGACCCUCGAAGGAUCGUGCGUGACUUCAGGCAGCCUCUUGGGAGGCCAUUUCCAUUCUCUUUUUUUCCCGGGCCUCCACUUCGAGACUCUGGGCUUCAGUUUUCCUACCUGAGAAGAAGGGCGUGGAACUAUCCUCCCGCCCACGCUCUGUGGUGAUGGGACAAACCGAGGGCGAGGCGCUUUGGUUUGCCCAGCGAAGGAGAGACUUGACACAGAAAGCACAGUCCUGUCGUUGAGGAACCUGGAACAAGUUGGGGAGGUGCAGCCGAGUAGGAGGCUUUCUUGAUGAGGCUCUAAGAGGACCCCGUGAUGGCUCUCUCACAUCAGUGGCCAUCCCCGGUCCACUGGAAACAUUCACGCAUCCUUUGCCCUCACGACCUCUGGGCAUGCAGGCA
rnacentral:lncRNA from 1 species